rnacentral:rRNA from 1 species
UACGGGAGGCAGCAGUGGGGAAUAUUGCACAAUGGGCGCAAGCCUGAUGCAGCCAUGCCGCGUGUAUGAAAGAAGGCCUUCGGGUUGUAAAGUACUUUCAGUCGUGAGGAAGGUGUUAAGGUUAAUAACCUUAGCAAUUGACGUUAGCGACAGAAGAAGCACCGGCUAACUCCGUGCCAGCAGCCGCGGUAAUACGGAGGGUGCGAGCGUUAAUCGGAAUUACUGGGCGUAAAGGGCACGCAGGCGGUUAAUUAAGUUGGAUGUGAAAUCCCCGGGCUUAACCUGGGAAUGGCAUUCAAGACUGGUUAGCUAGAGUCUUGUAGAGGGGGUAGAAUUCCAUGUGUAGCGGUGAAAUGCGUAGAGAUGUGGAGGAAAUACCGGUGGCGAAAGGCGGCCCCCUGGACAAAAGACUGACGCUCAUGUGCGAAAAGCGUGGGGAGC